AACGCACAUUGCGCCCGCCAGCAUUCUGGCGGGCAUGCCUGUUCGAGCGUCAUUUCAACCCUCAGGCCCUGCCUGGCGUUGGAGGACUGCACUGCAGCCUCCCAAAGCGAGCGGCGGCGGCGCCCCACAACCGAACGUAGUAGUUAUAUUUCGUUUUGGGCGUGGGACGUUGUCCUGCCGGAAAACACCCCCUUUUUAAUUGUUGACCUCGAAUCAGGUAGGAAUACCCGCUGAACUUAA
rnacentral:misc_RNA from 3 species